rnacentral:rRNA from 1 species
CAGCAGUAGGGAAUUUUCGUCAAUGGGCGCAAGCCUGAACGAGCAAUGCCGCGUGAACGAGGAAGGUCUUCGGAUCGUAAAGUUCUGUUGAAGGGGAAAAAGAGCGGAGAGAGGAAAUGAACUCCGAUUGAUAUUACCCUUCGAGGAAGUCACGGCUAACUACGUGCCAGCAGCCGCGGUAAUACGUAGGUGGCGAGCGUUAUCCGGAAUGAUUGGGCGUAAAGGGUGCGUAGGCGGCCUGCUAAGUCUGGAGUGAAAGGUACCGGCUCAACCGGUACAGGCUCUGGAAACUGGCGGGCUAGAGAGCAGGAGAGGGCGGUGGAACUCCAUGUGUAGCGGUAAAAUGCGUAGAUAUAUGGAAGAACACCAGUGGCGAAGGCGGCCGCCUGGCCUGUUGACUGACGCUGAGGCACGAAAGCGUGGGGAGCAAAUAGGAUUAGA